AGCAGCCGCGGUAAUUCCAGCUCCAAUAGCGUAUAUUAAAGUUGUUGCAGUUAAAAAGCUCGUAGUUGAAUUUCGGGAUUGACGUGAUGGUCAUGCCUUAAGGGGUAUGAACUGUUACAGUUGAUUUCUCACCUUCUGGAGAAACUUGAUGUCCUUUAUUGGGUGUCUUGCGGAUCCAGGACCUUUACCUUGAAAAAAUUAGAGUGUUUAAAGCAGGCAUUUUUGCUCGAAUACAUUAGCAUGGAAUAAUAGAAUAGGACGGCAUGGUUCUAUUUUGUUGGCUUCUAGGAUCACCGUAAUGAUUAAUAGGGAUAGUUGGGGGCAUUAGUAUUCAAUUGUCAGAGGUGAAAUUCUUGGAUUUAUUGAAGACUAACUACUGCGAAAGCAUUUGCCAAGGAUGUUUUCAUUAAUCAAGAACGAAAGUUAGGGGAUCGAAGACGAUCAGAUACCGUCGUAGUCUUAACCAUAAACUAUACCGACUAGGAAUCAGACGAUGUAAUUUUUAAUGACUCGUUUGG
rnacentral:rRNA from 1 species